rnacentral:rRNA from 1 species
CAGUCGCCGCGGUAAUACGUAGGGUGCAAGCAUUAAUCGGAAUUACUGGGCGUAAAGCGUGCGCAGGCGGUUUGUUAAGACAGAUGUGAAAUCCCCGGGCUCAACCUGGGAACUGCAUUUGUGACUGGCAAGCUAGAGUAUGGCAGAGGGGGGUGGAAUUCCGCGUGUAGCAGUGAAAUGCGUAGAUAUGCGGAGGAACACCGAUGGCGAAGGCAGCCCCCUGGGACAACACUGACGCUGAGGCACGAAAGCGUGGGGAGCAAACAGGAUUAGAUACCCCAGUAGUCCCUGUCUCUUAUAC